GAUAAACGCUGGCGGCGUGCCUAAUACAUGCAAGUCGAGCGAACGGACGAGAAGCUUGCUUCUCUGAUGUUAGCGGCGGACGGGUGAGUAACACGUGGAUAACCUACCUAUAAGACUGGGAUAACUUCGGGAAACCGGAGCUAAUACCGGAUAAUAUUUUGAACCGCAUGGUUCAAAAGUGAAAGACGGUCUUGCUGUCACUUAUAGAUGGAUCCGCGCUGCAUUAGCUAGUUGGUAAGGUAACGGCUUACCAAGGCAACGAUGCAUAGCCGACCUGAGAGGGUGGUCGGCCACACUGGAACUGAGACACGGUCCAGACUCCUACGGGAGGCAGCAGUAGGGAAUCUUCCGCAAUGGGCGAAAGCCUGACGGAGCAACGCCGCGUGAGUGAUGAAGGUCUUCGGAUCGUAAAACUCUGUUAUUAGGGAAGAACAUAUGUGUAAGUAACUGUGCACAUCUUGACGGUACCUAAUCAGAAAGCCACGGCUAACUACGCGCCAGCAGCCGCGGUAAUACGUAGGUGGCAAGCGUUAUCCGGAAUUAUUGGGCGUAAAGCGCGCGUAGGCGGUUUUUUAAGUCUGAUGUGAAAGCCCACGGCUCAACCGUGGAGGGUCAUUGGAAACUGGAAAACUUGAGUGCAGAAGAGGAAAGUGGAAUUCCAUGUGUAGCGGUGAAAUGCGCAGAGAUAUGGAGGAACACCAGUGGCGAAGGCGACUUUCUGGUCUGUAACUGACGCUGAUGUGCGAAAGCGUGGGGAUCAAACAGGAUUAGAUACCCUGGUAGUCCACGCCGUAAACGAUGAGUGCUAAGUGUUAGGGGGUUUCCGCCCCUUAGUGCUGCAGCUAACGCAUUAAGCACUCCGCCUGGGGAGUACGACCGCAAGGUUGAAACUCAAAGGAAUUGACGGGGACCCGCACAAGCGGUGGAGCAUGUGGUUUAAUUCGAAGCAACGCGAAGAACCUUACCAAAUCUUGACAUCCUUUGACAACUCUAGAGAUAGAGCCUUCCCCUUCGGGGGACAAAGUGACAGGUGGUGCAUGGUUGUCGUCAGCUCGUGUCGUGAGAUGUUGGGUUAAGUCCCGCAACGAGCGCAACCCUUAAGCUUAGUUGCCAUCAUUAAGUUGGGCACUCUAAGUUGACUGCCGGUGACAAACCGGAGGAAGGUGGGGAUGACGUCAAAUCAUCAUGCCCCUUAUGAUUUGGGCUACACACGUGCUACAAUGGACAAUACAAAGGGCAGCGAAACCGCGAGGUCAAGCAAAUCCCAUAAAGUUGUUCUCAGUUCGGAUUGUAGUCUGCAACUCGACUACAUGAAGCUGGAAUCGCUAGUAAUCGUAGAUCAGCAUGCUACGGUGAAUACGUUCCCGGGUCU
rnacentral:rRNA from 1 species